UAUAUAUUAGUGUAUGUUGCACAAAAAAUUUUGGGUUUUUUGGAUUUAGUUUAAUUCUAAAAUAUAUAA
rnacentral:tRNA from 1 species